rnacentral:rRNA from 1 species
GGGGAAACCCACCUUAGAUACUUGGGAAAUCUGUUUGGUUGUCGGAUCUUCGAUCCGACGUUACGGCGAACGAUCGCCGACGGCCUCUGGCCUGUAUGGGUGCCUUGCUCGAUGUUCGGGUUUGGCAGCACUACAGCGCGGUAGCGCGUCGCCGGUCGUCCGGCGCNCCGUCCGCAGGCCUUUGGCCGUGAGGACAUGAACCAAACAGGUUUCCAAGUAUCGUUAAUAAGGUAUCUUACCUUCGAAUACAUAGGGGUAAGAAGCGAAC